GGCUGUAUCUUGUCUUAAGCGCAGAUAAUCUCUUUUAUUUCUCUCCUCAGAUACAGAGGACAAUUCUCACACAGAAUCCAUUAGCAGGUGAUAUGUCAUUGAUAUGUCAAAACAGGAAUGGGAGAUAAAAGCAGCUACAAAUGAUAAGUUUAUCAAGCACUACAUUGUGUUCAUUUGCAGGGCAUCAAAAAGUGGUGCUGCUGAUUCCUGGCCUUCAUCAGAUGAUGACGAUGAUGAUGAUGAUGAGUUAGAUUUGAGCCCAAAGAAAGUAAACUUGAAGAAACUCAUAAGCACCACAAAAAGGGAAAAAGUAGAAGUCAUAGCGGAUCAGGAUGCAGACAAAUCCUGGAGCGGAUCAGAGUCCGAACCGGACAGUGAGAAUAAGGGUGCAAUCCGCCCUCCACUGUCUAGACCACUCCCAUUCAGCAGCACCUCCCUCCACCCCCCUGUAGCAACCCCACCUGCCU
rnacentral:lncRNA from 1 species